rnacentral:rRNA from 1 species
GCAGAUCCAAUUUUCUGCCACCGAAUACAUUAGCAUGGGAUAAUGGAAUAGGACCCUGUCCUCCUAUUUUCAGUUGGUUUGCCGCGAGGACCAGGGUAAUGAUUAAUAGGGAUAGUUGGGGGCAUUAAUAUUUAAUUGUCAGAGGUGAAAUUCUUGGAUUUAUGAAAGAUUAACUUCUGCGAAAGCAUCUGCCAAGGAUGUUUUCAUUAAUCAAGAACGAAAGUUAGGGGAUCGAAGACGAUCAGAUACCGUCGUAGUCUUAACCAUAAACGAUGCCGACCAGCGAUUAGGAGACGUUGAAUACAAAACACCACCAUGCGCAUUGCGGUCGUCUUUGGG